rnacentral:lncRNA from 10 species
GAAAACAGAGAGGUUCACCGGGUGCAUUUAUAACCCUGCUGGAGGGAUGGCAAACCUGUCCGUGUGGUCAGAAAAAACUUCUGAGAGGUGGUGGCAUUUGAAUUGAGUCUUAAACAAUGUGGGAGAGUCCAGCUGAGAGAGGCAGGCAAGAAGAAAGUAUGGGCAUCCACAGAGAGUCAUUCUGUGUGCCUGGAGGGACGAGGGGAGGGCUCAGAGGGGAUGGUGUUGGCAUUGUGCAUGUGACCUGUGGAAGGCAUAAUUCUGAGAUUUGGAAGAGAAGAGAAGGGAAAAAAGAGUUUGGAGACACACAGACACACAGAAGGAAGAAGCCCAUUUGAAGACGGAGGCAGAAGUUGGGAUGUUGCAGCUACAAGCUGAGGAAAGCCAAAGACUUCCAACAAUCCCCCAAAGCCCGGAAGAGUAAAGGAUGGAUUCUUCCCUAGAACCUUCAAAAGAAGCACAGCCCUGCCAUCACCUGGAUUUCAGCCCUAUAUCCUCCAGAACUGUGAGAGAAUAAAUUUCUGUUCUUUUAAGU